GGAGGUAGGGCAAUAAAUCACAAUGCGGAACAAUGUUUUGCAAUUGGAUUGAGAACAACGUACAAACCUUAUCGAUAAACAAUUGGAGGGCAAGUCUGGUGCCAGCAGCCGCGGUAAUUCCAGCUCCAAUAGCGUAUAUUAACGUUGUUGCAGUUAAAAAGCUCGUAGUUGAAAUGAAGGGUAGUUGUGUAAUGAAUACAUUCGUGUAUUUUGUUAUUCUACUACCCUCCUUCUAAAUUCGAUAUAUGAGUAUUAAUUUACUUGUAUAUGGUUUUAGACGUUUACUGUGAGAAAAUUAGAGUGUUCAAAGCAGGCAUUUGCUUGAAUAUAUUAGCAUGGAAUAAUCAUGUAUGAUUUUCAUGAUGUAUUUGAUUGGUUUGGUUCAUGAGAAUAAGAUUAAAAGGGACAGUUGGGGGUAUUCAUAUUCAAUAGUCAGAGGUGAAAUUCUCGGAUUUAUGGAAGAUGAACAAUGGCGAAAGC
rnacentral:rRNA from 1 species